rnacentral:rRNA from 1 species
UACAGAGGAGCCAAGCGUUGUCCGGAUUGACUGGGCGUAAAGCGCACGCAGGCGGUCGUGCACGUGGGGUGUGAAAACUGGCGGCUUAACUGCCAGAGGCCACCUCAUACGGCGCGACUCGAGCCCUGCAGAGGUCCAUGGAAUUGCCGGUGUAGUGGUGAAAUGCGUAGAGAUCGGCAGGAACACCCAGGGGGAAACCAGUGGACUGGGCAGGAGCUGACGCUCAGGUGCGAAAGCGUGGGGAGCGAACCGG